rnacentral:rRNA from 1 species
AGCGAACGCUGGCGGCAGGCCUAACACAUGCAAGUCGAACGAACUCUUCGGAGUUAGUGGCGGACGGGUGAGUAACACGUGGGAACGUGCCUUUAGGUUCGGAAUAACUCAGGGAAACUUGUGCUAAUACCGAAUGUGCCCUUCGGGGGAAAGAUUUAUCGCCUUUAGAGCGGCCCGCGUCUGAUUAGCUAGUUGGUGAGGUAAAGGCUCACCAAGGCGACGAUCAGUAGCUGGUCUGAGAGGAUGAUCAGCCACAUUGGGACUGAGACACGGCCCAAACUCAUACGGGAGGCAGCAGUGGGGAAUCUUGCGCAAUGGGCGAAAGCCUGACGCAGCCAUGCCGCGUGAAUGAUGAAGGUCUUAGGAUUGUAAAAUUCUUUCACCGGGGACGAUAAUGACGGUACCCGGAGAAGAAGCCCCGGCUAACUUCGUG